GACGUAGGGCGCGAGCGUUGUCCGGAUUUAUUGGGCGUAAAGGGUGCGUAGGCGGCCCCAUAAGUCAGUGCUGAAAUACUCUAGCUCAACUAGAGGGGUGGCAUUGAUACUGCGGGGCUUGAGUGGAGUCGAGGUAGGCGGAAUUGACGGUGUAGCGGUGAAAUGCGUAGAUAUCCGAAGGAACAUCAGUGGCGAAAGCGGCUUCCUGGACCAGAACUGACGAUCAGGCACGAAAGCAUGGGGAGCAAAAGGG
rnacentral:rRNA from 1 species